rnacentral:rRNA from 1 species
UACGAAGGGGCUAGCGUUGUUCGGAUUUACUGGGCGUAAAGCGCACGUAGGCGGAUCUUUAAGUCAGAGGUGAAAUCCCAAGGCUCAACCUUGGAACUGCCUUUGAUACUGGGGAUCUUGAGUCCGGGAGAGGUGAGUGGAACUGCGAGUGUAGAGGUGAAAUUCGUAGAUAUUCGCAAGAACACCAGUGGCGAAGGCGGCUCACUGGCCCGAUACUGACGCUGAGGCACGAAAGCGUGGGGAGCAAACAGG